CAGGCUUAACACAUGCAAGUCGAGGGGCAGCAUGGUCUUAGCUUGCUAAGGCCGAUGGCGACCGGCGCACGGGUGAGUAACACGUAUCCAACCUGCCGUCUACUCUUGGACAGCCUUCUGAAAGGAAGAUUAAUACAAGAUGGCAUCAUGAGUCCGCAUGUUCACAUGAUUAAAGGUAUUCCGGUAGACGAUGGGGAUGCGUUCCAUUAGAUAGUAGGCGGGGUAACGGCCCACCUAGUCUUCGAUGGAUAGGGGUUCUGAGAGGAAGGUCCCCCACAUUGGAACUGAGACACGGUCCAAACUCCUACGGGAGGCAGCAGUGAGGAAUAUUGGUCAAUGGGCGAGAGCCUGAACCAGCCAAGUAGCGUGAAGGAUGACUGCCCUAUGGGUUGUAAACUUCUUUUAUAAAGGAAUAAAGUCGGGUAUGGAUACCCGUUUGCAUGUACUUUAUGAAUAAGGAUCGGCUAACUCCGUGCCAGCAGCCGCGGUAAUACGGAGGAUCCGAGCGUUAUCCGGAUUUAUUGGGUUUAAAGGGAGCGUAGAUGGAUGUUUAAGUCAGUUGUGAAAGUUUGCGGCUCAACCGUAAAAUUGCAGUUGAUACUGGAUAUCUUGAGUGCAGUUGAGGCAGGCGGAAUUCGUGGUGUAGCGGUGAAAUGCUUAGAUAUCACGAAGAACUCCGAUUGCGAAGGCAGCCUGCUAAGCUGCAACUGACAUUGAGGCUCGAAAGUGUGGGUAUCAAACAGGAUUAGAUACCCUGGUAGUCCACACGGUAAACGAUGAAUACUCGCUGUUUGCGAUAUACUGCAAGCGGCCAAGCGAAAGCGUUAAGUAUUCCACCUGGGGAGUACGCCGGCAACGGUGAAACUCAAAGGAAUUGACGGGGGCCCGCACAAGCGGAGGAACAUGUGGUUUAAUUCGAUGAUACGCGAGGAACCUUACCCGGGCUUAAAUUGCAGAUGAAUUACGGUGAAAGCCGUAAGCCGCAAGGCAUCUGUGAAGGUGCUGCAUGGUUGUCGUCAGCUCGUGCCGUGAGGUGUCGGCUUAAGUGCCAUAACGAGCGCAACCCUUGUUGUCAGUUACUAACAGGUUCCGCUGAGGACUCUGACAAGACUGCCAUCGUAAGAUGUGAGGAAGGUGGGGAUGACGUCAAAUCAGCACGGCCCUUACGUCCGGGGCUGCACACGUGUUACAAUGGGGGGUACAGAGGGCCGCUACCACGCGAGUGGAUGCCAAUCCCCAAAACCUCUCUCAGUUCGGACUGGAGUCUGCAACCCGACUCCACGAAGCUGGAUUCGCUAGUAAUCGCGCAUCAGCCACGGCGCGGUGAAUACGUUCCCGGGCCUUGUACACACCGCCCGUCAAGCCAUGGGAGCCGGGGGUACCUGAAGUGCGUAACCGCGAGGAGCGCCCUAGGGUAAAACUGGUGA
rnacentral:rRNA from 1 species